rnacentral:rRNA from 1 species
AAAACGACUCUCGGCAACGGAUAUCUCGGCUCUCGCAUCGAUGAAGAACGUAGCGAAAUGCGAUACUUGGUGUGAAUUGCAGAAUCCCGUGAACCAUCGAGUUUUUGAACGCAAGUUGCGCCCCAAGCCUUUUGGCCGAGGGCACGUCUGCCUGGGUGUCACAA